GAACAACAAAAUGUCUAGCAUACAAACCGAAAUGAACAAGUUGGCAAAGAAGAUAAAAUAAGGAAAACAAUGAAGAUAAUAAUCUAAGAGAUGUACGAACCUUGCCUAGACGAAGACAUUUGACAACUUGCAAGGAUGAAAAUGCGCUACUUGAUAAAUAACGGAUAUUGUAUUCAUACAUGUAUUAAAACAUACUUUAUAUAUCACGAUUGCAUUAUAUUACGAGAGUUUAUUGUGAAAUUAAGUAAUAGUAAUACAAUUCACAAUAUUUAACGCGCCACUUCGAGUGGCAAUCACAUAGGCGAAUAAAUGCAAUGAAUGGUGUAUUUUUAUAUUUGUGUAGGACUUUAUAUUAAUUGUGUUUUUAUAAUAUUGGAUUCGUAAAUGAUUUGUGUACAUAUUUUAUAGAUAGCUUUUUUUAUAUGUAUGUGCAGUUUCAUAAAUCGUUGUCGUUUAAGACAAAAUUAUGAUACAUUCGAGAUGUGCCGAAUCGUACCUACGUUUUAAUAUAAUCAUAAUAAGUAUGGACUAAUCGGUGACCAUUUUUUAGGAUGUAAUAUAGCUCGACUCGAAGCCUGUUACUCUUGAACUCAUUAAGCAGAUACUAGUCGACUUAAUUUUGUCAAAUAUUUCAACUCAGUUUUCAGUAUUAUGCAAUAUGUUUAUCCGAUUCCGAUUCGGACACUCAUUUAUUCGUUGUUGUUUUUUAAAUACCAAUGUAUCCAAAUCAGGACCAUGUUAAUGCUGAUGUCCUUUAUUCUCCAAGCAUGGAAAGCCAUUAAUAAAUGUUGAAUUUAAAUCUGAUACAAAUGUGAAGGAAGUCGCAAACGUUUAAGUGUUGUUAUGAGAAAGCAUUUGUGAAUUGAGCGAUGGUGUAAACUCUAUAGAGCAGACCAAGAAUUCUGAAACGUUUUUCCCUGAUCCUUGCGUGUCUUGAUCUUUUUUUCAAUAUUUUUAUGAUUCAGUGUUUUACAGACUUGUUGAACAAGUAGUAAAAUGUUUGCAUAAGUAUGACAAGAGUUGUUUCCGUAUGGUCACAACCAUGUCAUUUGUCAAUGUUCAUAUUAGUUUCUGAUUAUAAUAAUAUGGUUUGAAUAUCAUACUUUUAAGAUAAAUUAAAGGCUGGUCAUCUGUUUGUGUAUGCGGCCGGAAUAUAUGAGAGAUGAAAACGAGAUCAGAUGGCCAAUUUACUGUACCUACGUAAGUCUGUUCGAGAUGUUUCAUUGGAAUCUUGUUGUGAAAAAAGUAUAUAUUGUCUGGUAGAACGUGUAAACUGUUUUCUCAACAAGUUAUAAAACAUGAUAGAAAGAGUAUUUUUCUUUUUUUCAUGUUCACGUUGAACGUUGAUAAACACUUUUUUACCUCGUUUCCAGAAAGGUAACUAAACAUAUAUAUAUAUAU